rnacentral:lncRNA from 7 species
GCCAUACUUCCACACGGCGAAUGUUCCCGUUACUACUUGCAAGCUGGUCACAGAGCACAGCAAAUACCAGAUUCCAGUUUUUCACUGGGGAGAAUCCAAGUGUUUCAAGUGAGCUCAAGCAGAAUUUCGCUGUGUUGAACUGGCCUGAUUUGGGAUGCAAACCGACCUCUGAAAGGCUGAAAUUUCCCGUGGGAGCAGAAAUUCGGAAUUUUGCUCAGCUCCAGUUACUCUGUGCAUGGAAAUGGCUUCCAGCAAACAAACAGCGCAGACAGGAGAUGCACCCGGUGUUAUCUAUUCCUUAUUUCACACAUGCCAACAUGGAUUGCUACUCGCUCUCCUAAAAGCAGCCUAGCAGUCACAUUGGCUAUGGACCUAGCUGUGUGACCAAGAGCUUGCUUGGUCCCCUUGCACAUUUAGACCUGUUUUUCUGACAAGCUUACCUUGUUUAUGGACACGUGUGAAAUGCUGCACAUGAUAUCCUGUUCUGGUGCAUUUUGUUAGACUGUAUUUUAACUUCAUUUAAUGUUCUCGUUGAUAGAAUAAACAUCACUAUUCAGAUUAAUCAC